AUUUCUACUAGAUAGUAAAAACUGAACAUUAAAUCUAAUUCGCAACGAGAGUUGGGUUUAGAAUUAAUUAAAUUAUAUUGUUUUUCAAAGAGUAUUUUAUUAGCGGGUGUGAGGACGAGAGUUAAGCACCACCUUUAUAAUUUAUAAUACUAUCUGAAUUGUAUUUUUAAAACAAUAUAGUUUCGAAAAUUUAAUUGCUUACACCACUAAAAUCUAGAAGUAAUGCAACUACUUUGUAAAGUAUUUUAUUAAUUUCAUGAUGAGAGUUGUGAGAGCUGGAAGUGAGAACGGCUUUCG
rnacentral:lncRNA from 1 species